GUUGCUCCUCUACUUCAGGAUGAUGCUCUUGUAUAUAUCAUUCACAGUGGGGAAGCAUAUAAAAUAUUUUGGCCAGUAUUAAACAGCAUAAUGUUAUUACUUACAUUGUGUUACCUGUCUCCUGGGACAUAA